rnacentral:lncRNA from 1 species
CUGCCUGAACUCUUCAUUUCACUUUUUAGAUGGUCAUGAAACAGUAUUCGAAAUUCAAGAUCAAAAUGGCACUAUAUGUAAACCAUAUGUUGUUCAUUUGGAUGUGGAUCAAAAUAGAAAUGUCCCAAAUCAAGGUGAUGUAUUCAUUGGUUGACAUAUAUGUGACUAGAGGCACAUAGUUCA